rnacentral:sRNA from 1 species
GAGGCCGGAGGUCAACGCCCGACAGCGCUAUGCGCCCUCGGGCGCAAAGGUG